GUUGUAGUCUGGAGAAGUGCUUUCCGCGCUGGACCGUGUAUAAGUCUCUUGGAACAGAGCGUCAUAGAGGGUGAGAAUCCCGUCUUUGACACGGACUACCAGUGCUUUGUGAUGCGCUCUCAAAGAGUCGAGUUGUUUGGGAAUGCAGCUCAAAAUGGGUGGUGAAUUCCAUCUAAAGCUAAAUAUUGGCGAGAGACCGAUAGCGAACAAGUACCGUGAGGGAAAGAUGAAAAGCACUUUGGAAAGAGAGUUAAACAGUACGUGAAAUUGCUGAAAGGGAAACGCUUGAAGUCAGUCGCGUCGUCCGGAACUCAGCCUUGCUUUUGCUUGGUGCACUUUCCGGAUGACGGGCCAGCAUCGAUUUUGACCGUCGGAAAAGGGCUAGGGUAAUGUGGCACCUUCGGGUGUGUUAUAGACCUUAGUCGCAUACGGCGGUUGGGAUCGAGGAACGCAGCGCGCCGCAAGGCAGGGGUUCGCCCACUUUCGCGCUUAGGAUGCUGGCAUAAUGGCUUUAAACGACCCGUCUUGAAACACGGACCAAGGAGUCUAACAUACCUGCGAGUGUUUGGGUGGAAAACCCGAGCGCGUAAUGAAAGUGAAAGUUGAGACCUCUGUCGUGGAGGGCAUCGACGCCCGGACCUGACGUUCUCUGACGGAUCCGCGGUAGAGCAUGUAUGUUGGGACCCGAAAGAUGGUGAACUAUGCCUGAAUAGGGUGAAGCCAGAGGAAACUCUGGUG
rnacentral:rRNA from 1 species